UAACCGUGCAAAGGUAGCAUAAUUAAUUGCCUUGUAAUUGAAGGAUUGUUUGAAAGGUUUGACUAGAUAGUUAUUUUAGAUGGGGGCUUUUUGUUUUUGAAUUUGGAGUACUAUUGCAGAUUAUAGUAUAAGUUAAUUAGACGGAAAGACCCCGAGAGCUUUAUAUAUUUGAUAUAUUUACUUGGGGUAAGGGCAUAUUUUUUAUAUGUUUUUUGUUCCUUUUGGAUUAUAGGGGAAGUUACCUCGGGGAUAACUAGGUAAGAGAUGAGGAGAGAACCUAUCGAUUUAUCUGUUUGCCAUCUCGAUGUUGACUUAGGGCGAAUAUAGAGGUGCAGUAGUUUUUAUAGUUGGUCUGUUCGACCUUAGAGCCCUACAUGAUCUG
rnacentral:rRNA from 1 species